GACGAACGCUGGCGGCGUGCUUAACACAUGCCAGUCGAACGGUGAAGCGCGUGCUUGCACUCGUGGAUCAGUGGCGAACGGGUGAGUAACACGUGAGUAACCUGCCCAUCACUCUGGGAUAAGCACUGGAAACGGGGGCUAAUACUGGAUACGACCAACCCUUGCAUGGGGGGGUGGGGGAAGGAUUUAUCGGUGGUGGAUGGACUCGCGGCCUAUCAGCUUGUUGGCGGGGUAAUGGCCCACCAAGGCUUGGACGGGUAGCCGGCCUGAGAGGGUGACCGGCCACACUGGGACUGAGACACGGCCCAGACUCCUACGGGAGGCAGCAGUGGGGAAUAUUGCACAAUGGGCGAAAGCCUGAUGCAGCGACGCCGCGUGAGGGAUGACGGCCUUCGGGUUGUAAACCUCUUUCAGCAGUGAAGAAGCGAGAGUGACGGUACCUGCAGAAGAAGCACCGGCUAACUACGUG
rnacentral:rRNA from 1 species